UACGGGGGGAGCAAGCGUUGUUCGGAUUUACUGGGCGUAAAGGGCGCGUAGGCGGCCACUGCAAGUCAAUCGUGAAAUCUCCGGGCUUAACUCCGGAAAGGUCAAGCUGAUACUGCCAGGGCUAGAGUGCGGAAGGGGCAACUGGAAUCUCGGUGUAGCGGUGAAAUGCGUAGAUAUCGAGAGGAACAGCCUGCGGCGAAGGCGGGUUGGCUGGGCCGACACUGACGCUGAAGUGCGAAGCUAGGGGAGCGAACGGG
rnacentral:rRNA from 1 species